GACGAACGCUGGCGGCGCGCCUAACACAUGCAAGUCGAGCGAGAACCAGGGCUUCGGCCCUGGGGACAGCGGCGAACGGGUGAGUAACACGUGGAUAACCUGCCCUCGGCACCGGAAUAGCCCGAGGAAACUCGGAUUAAUACCGGAUAAUCCUUUCCUGCUCAUGCAGGAAAGCUGAAAGUCGGUUUCGGCUGACACUUACAGAUGGGCCCGCGGCGCAUUAGCUAGUUGGUGAGGUAACGGCUCACCAAGGCGACGAUGCGUAGCCGACCUGAGAGGGUGAUCGGCCACACUGGGACUGAGACACGGCCCAGACUCCUACGGGAGGCAGCAGUAGGGAAUCUUCCACAAUGGACGAAAGUCUGAUGGAGCAACGCCGCGUGAGCGAUGAAGGCCUUCGGGUCGUAAAGCUCUGUUGUUAGGGAAGAACGAGUACCGGAGUAACUGCCGGUACCUUGACGGUACCUAACCAGAAAGCCACGGCUAACUACGUGCCAGCAGCCGCCGUAA
rnacentral:rRNA from 1 species